rnacentral:rRNA from 1 species
AGGGUUUGAUCCUGGCUCAGAAUGAACGUUGGCGGCGUGGAUUAGGCAUGCAAGUCGUGCGAGAACCGUAGCAAUACGGGGACAGCGGCGAAAGGGAGAGGAACACGUGGAUACCUACCCUCAGGUUCAGGAUAGCUGUGGGAAACUACAGGUAAUACUGAAUAAUAUCUCCGGAUCAAAGGUGUGAUUCCACCUGAGGAGGGGUCCGCGUCCUAUUAGCUAGUUGGCGAGGUAACGGCUCACCAAGGCGAAGAUGGGUAUGGGAUGUGAGAGCAUGAUCCCACUCACUGGGACUGAGACACUGCCCAGACACCUACGGGUGGCUGCAGUCGAGAAUCUUCGGCAAUGGGCGAAAGCCUGACCGAGCGACGCCGCGUGCGGGAUGAAGGCCUUCGGGUUGUAAACCGCUGUCAGAGGGGAGGAAAUGCUAGUGGGUUCUCCCAUUAGCUUGACCUAGCCUCAGAGGAAGGACGGGCUAAGUUCGUGCCAGCAGCCGCGGUAAGACGAACCGUCCAAACGUUAUUCGGAAUCACUGGGCUUAAAGGGUGCGUAGGCGGUCCGGAAAGUUGGGUGUGAAAGCCCUCAGCUCAACUGAGGAAUUGCGCCCAAAACUGUCGGACUCGAGGAAGACAGAGGUGUGCGGAACUUAGGGUGGAGCGGUGAAAUGCGUUGAUAUCCUAAGGAACACCAGUAGCGAAAGCGGCACACUGGGUCUUUUCUGACGCUGAUGCACGAAAGCUAGGGGAGCGAAGAGGAUUAGAUACCCUCGUAGUCCUAGCCGUAAACGAUGAGCACUUGUUUGGAGGGUCCUCCAUAGCCUUCCAGACGUAGCGAAAGUGUUAAGUGCUCCGCCUGGGGAGUAUGGUCGCAAGGCUGAAA